rnacentral:rRNA from 3 species
UGGGGAAUAUUGCACAAUGGAGGGAACUCUGAUGCAGCGACGCCGCGUGAACGAAGAAGGCUUUCGAGUCGUAAAGUUCUUUUAUAUGGGAAGAUAAUGACGGUACCAUAAGAAAAAGCCCCGGCUAACUACGUGCCAGCAGCCGCGGUAAUACGUAGGGGGCUAGCGUUGUCCGGAAUCACUGGGCGUAAAGGGUUCGCAGGCGGAAAUGCAAGUCAGGUGUAAAAGGCAGUAGCUUAACUACUGUAAGCAUUUGAAACUGCAUAUCUUGAGAAGAGUAGAGGUAAGUGGAAUUUUUAGUGUAGCGGUGAAAUGCGUAGAUAUUAAAAAGAAUACCGGUGGCGAAAGCGACUUACUGGGCUCAUUCUGACGCUGAGGAACGAAAGCGUGGGUAGCAAACAGG